rnacentral:rRNA from 1 species
GUGGGGAAUAUUGGACAAUGGGCGCAAGCCUGAUCCAGCAAUGCCGCGUGCAGGAAGAAGGCCUUCGGGUUGUAAACUGCUUUUGUACGGAACGAAACGGUCCUGGCUAAUAUCCGGGGCUAAUGACGGUACCGUAAGAAUAAGCACCGGCUAACUACGUGCCAGCAGCCGCGGUAAUACGUAGGGUGCGAGCGUUAAUCGGAAUUACUGGGCGUAAAGCGUGCGCAGGCGGUGCUGUAAGACAGGCGUGAAAUCCCCGGGCUCAACCUGGGAAUUGCGCUUGUGACUGCAGUGCUGGAGUGCGGCAGAGGGGGAUGGAAUUCCGCGUGUAGCAGUGAAAUGCGUAGAUAUGCGGAGGAACACCGAUGGCGAAGGCAAUCCCCUGGGCCUGCACUGACGCUCAUGCACGAAAGCGUGGGGAGCAAACAGGAUUAGAAACCCCUGUAGUCC